GACGAACGCUGGCGGCGUGCCUAAUACAUGCAAGUCGAACGCACUCUCGUUUAGAUUGAAGGAGUUUGCUCCUGAUUGAUAAACAUUUGAGUGAGUGGCGGACGGGUGAGUAACACGUGGGUAACCUGCCCUAAAGUGGGGGAUAACAUUUGGAAACAGAUGCUAAUACCGCAUAAAACCUAACACCGCAUGGUGUAGGGUUGAAAGAUGGUUUCGGCUAUCCCUUUAGGAUGGACCCGCGGUGCAUUAGUUAGUUGGUGAGGUAAAGGCUCACCAAGACCGUGAUGCAUAGCCGACCUGAGAGGGUAAUCGGCCACACUGGGACUGAGACACGGCCCAGACUCCUACGGGAGGCAGCAGUAGGGAAUCUUCCACAAUGGACGAAAGUCUGAUGGAGCAACGCCGCGUGAGUGAAGAAGGUGUUCGGAUCGUAAAACUCUGUUGUUGGAGAAGAAUGUAUCUGAUAGUAACUGAUCAGGUAGUGACGGUAUCCAACCAGAAAGCCACGGCUAACUACGUG
rnacentral:rRNA from 1 species